UGUGACGUUCUCGUGGCAUGUCUGGACUUGUUUAGCAGUGUUGCAAUUCUUCCCGCUGCUAGUAUGUUGUUGGUGUCAUGUUGUGCUAGCCGCGUGGCGAUGUGAGGUUACCUGAGGUCUUAAGCCUUUUCCCUGCUCACCUAAGGAAAUUUGUGUAUCCCUGCCCUGUGCUUUCUUUACGCAAGGGUAAUGCGGCUGUGUAUGUGGCAUUAUGCAAGAAUUAUCUGGUGGCAGAAAUGGGUGCCUUUUUCUCAGUUUAUUGGCGUGUGCUACGGUUUCUUGCAGUUACAGCUAUUGGAGCACAAAAGCGUGUAGUUUUUCGCGGUUCUUUUCUCCUUUCACUGCUUUUACUCAGAAUGUAGAUGAGGGGAAACAGUCAGCAUCCAGGUAGAGCAGGAGAAAGCCGCUCGGCAGAGGAGAGUUCAUGAGAAUGGAAUUUGUUUGUUUUUUGUUAUAUGUUGAGUGUCAGUAUUCGCUUUCCUCGAUAUGUUGAGGAAGUCAGCCGUUAUAGGUAUUUGUGCAGAAAUGCUGGUAUCUGAGUGUGUGGAGUAGAAAUUCCUAUAAAGCACCUCUCCUUGUGCAUUCCUGAGCUGCUGUGUGUGCGCGCGUGCUUCUUUUUCCUGGUUUGCGACGUCAUGAUGGCAUGUUGGGUCUUGUUUAGCAGUGUUGCAAUUUUACCCGCCGCUAUUAUCUUGUUAUUUGUGUUAGCCGCGUAGCGAUGUCCAGUGACUCUGCUAUUAUUCCUGAGGUCUUAAGCCUUUUCCCUGCUCACCUAAGGAAAUUUGUGUAUCCCUGUCCUGUGCUUUCUUUGCGACAAUGCGUCUGUGUAUGUGGCACUAUCAGAUACCAGACAUGAGUGUCUUUUUCUUGGUUUAUUGGCAUAUGCUUCAGGUUUUUUAAGUCAAGCACAAGUGCGCGCAAUUUUUCGCUGCUCUCUUCCCCAAAUCACCGAUUUUACGCAGAAGAAAGUCGCAUGGUGCAGCUGAGAAGAGGGUUUCUCUGAUUGUCUGUUAGAUGUUGUUAGGAGCUCGGUAUGUUGAGGAAGUCAGCUGUUAAAGGUAUCCGUGAAGAAAUGCUUGCAUUUGAGCACAGGAUAGGAAUUCCUGAAUUCACGGCACCCUCAGUGUAAAUUAAUGAUUUUGUAUGUGAGUCUGCUUCACUGCAUGACAAGGCUGAAAUGGGAAGAGAGAAAAAAUUGGAGCGCUUCAUUAAUAGCGAUUCAAGUAAUAGGGCAAUUAUAGUUUCCAUAGAAAGUAGAAUUUUAAUGAGCUUCUAAAAUUAUAGUUUUGUAGUAGUGUUUCUAAACUGCAAUGCAAGGUAUAAAAUCAUUAAUAUGGUAAGAAUGCCAUCAUGUUCCCGUAAAGGCGUUCUGUCUUGUGCUUUGGCGUGCGCGAAUGGAACUGGAGGUGAUGUUGAGUGGUCUCACUUAUUAUUUUAAAAGAGCAGUGGUAGUUUACUGUAAUUCUAAUGACCAUGAUGAGCCUUUGGGGUGAAAAUCGUUAAUAUGCAGGGUGCUUUUUUGUUGAAUUUUAAUGAGAGAAUCAAUGUCAUUCAGAGUAGGACAAAGGAAAUAAUCUUGCGAUUCAAUAAUUAAUAGGAGUCUUUGCCGGUGUCUUCUUCAGACAGGAUGUGAUGAUGUCACGCAGUCUGUAGCAAUGCGUUGACUGUUACUGAAAAAAGUGUAGCAAAAUGGUGUGUAUUCCCCUGGACAGAUUUAUGAUGAGCACUGUUUUUGAACAAGAGGAGUGCGUGUGCUUGGAAAUAGUUUGAUGCUGGUUUCCUUCUUUGUUCCUUUUCGCUUUUUCCCCCUUGUUGUCUGACAAACAUGCGCUGACAUGCCUGGGCUUGUUCUGACAUGCUUUCCUUCUACAUGUAGUUUUUUUCUUUUUGUACAAGCAAUAUUCUUGACGAUAGUGCUGCCUUGAAUGGGAAUAGUGCUAUUCUUAAUACUUUUGCGACUCAUUUAGUUCAGAGAGUAACCGCGAGGGGGACAGGUGUGUGACUUUAUUCAGGAGGAACAAAGCAUCAUUAUUCAAUUAUCUACCUGGCUCUCGGGUGGGAUGAGCAUGUCUUGCUGCACCAUUUUUUCCCUGUACAGUAAGACUUUGGGAAUGAAAUGCUAUAAUCUCCUCUUUUCUAUGGUGCUCUUCUGCAAUAGUUCCCUACGCAAUCAUUAUAGUAGAAUAAAGGAAAUAAUCUAGGGAUAGUGAUUCAAUAAAUAACAGGUGCCCUGUCUAGAGCGUACGCGUCCUUGAGCCACGCACCUGCAUGAUGACCGCAUACCGAGAGACUAUUGUUUCAGGUUGACCUUGUCUAGAGGAGCAUUAGUGGAAAAAAAACUGUGUAGCCCUGAGACAAUAGGAUGCCGACACGACCAAUGAGGCUGGCCUGCAGGGGGCGCAAGGAUUCACUUCUCUCUUGGACACUGACGGGUGUAGACACGGUAAUUAUGAUCCUGGCGUUGGCCGUCAGUGGAAGAGCGUAGCUUAGGUGGGGUUCUGUCUGCCUCUGAUGGGGUGUGGAUGUAUGGUUCGUCACUGGUGAAUGGUGUUCGACGAUGCAGGUGGAUUUUGUGACGAGCGGAUUUACAAUGAGGGAAUGCUGUGAACGGGAAAAAUGAUGGUGAGUGCCUUUUUCACUCUGUUCAAGUGUUCGUUUUCCUCUGUUGCCCAACAGUCGUGCGAAUUUGUCCUGACGUGUCCUGACAUGCCCCGAUAUGCAUGCUUUCCUUUGUUAACGCUUUGUAUUUUGUCUUUUUUUGACAAGGAACAUUGUCGUCUUGACGAUAGUGCUGCCCUGAGUUCUGCGCGCGUUGAUUUGUUGAGUGCCUAGUCCUCUUAUUAGCCGUUGAUGGAGUUACAUGUUAGGAUGUUUUGUUCUUUUGCAAGUCUCAUUUAGUAAGACUUUGGAAUUCCUACGAUCAGUUUUCAUGCAUGGUGCUCUUCUGCAAUAGUUUCCUAUGCAAUGGUUAUAGAAGAAUAAAGGAAAUAAUCUUGGGAUAGUGAUUCAAUAAAUAAUAGGUCCCCUGCUAGAGCGCACGCGUCCUUGAGCCACGCAGGUGCAUGAUGACGUCAUACCGUGGCUUCACUGCAGAUUGACCAAAGGAGCAUUAGUGGAAAAAAAAAACAGUGUAGCCCUGAGACAAUAGGAUGAUGUCUGGACCAAUGAGAACUGCCAGCAGGGGGCGCACGAAUGCUCUUCUCACUUAGCCUCACGACCAAUGAGAACGGCCAGCAGGGGGCGCAGGAAUGCUCUUCUCUCUUAGCCUCUCGCAGGUGGCGGUAGGAGCGCGCAGAGGGCGCUACGAGCGCGCGCAUGCGUAGCACCCGUAGAGUGGCGCUUACGUCAGUCCACCUCUGGCUCUCGUUGGGAGAAGACGUGCGGUCGUUCGCUCCGUCGUCACUUGAUCCCUGGCUGUCGACGAGAGCAGUCGCAUCGGUCUGCGCUCCUACUGUGAGCUGUCCUAACUUGCCCAGACAUGCCGUGAUGACGUCACAGCUGACGUCACAGGAUGUCCGGAACUGGUGGUCAUAGCUGCGAUGCUUUGCAACCUGCUUCUGUGCUCCGUCACCCAGCGACGGUCAGCGGCCUUUCCGGACCGCUUUCUUCAAGAUGGCGCCGUUGAUCUUCAAUUAAACUCCUUCUCUCCACUCUA